GCCUGGCUGGCCCAAUUGGUAGAGCAUGGGACUCUCCAUCUCAGGGUCAUGAGUUCAAACCCCAUGUUGGGCU